rnacentral:rRNA from 1 species
UACGUAGGGGGCAAGCGUUUGUCCGGAUUUAUUGGGCGUAAAGAGCGUGUAGGCGGCUAGGUAGGUCCGUUGUGAAAACUCGAGCUCAACCUCGAGACGCCGGUGGAAACCAUCUAGCUAGAGUCCGGAAGAGGAGAGUGGAAUUCCUGGUGUAGCGGUGAAAUGCGCAGAUAUCAGGAAGAACACCCGUGGCGAAGGCGGCUCUCUGGGACGUGACUGACGCUGAGACGCGAAAGCGUGGGGAGCGAACGGG